rnacentral:lncRNA from 12 species
GGGGGGGGGGGGGGGGGGGGGGGGGGGGGGGGGGGGGGGGGGGGGGGGGGGGGGGGGGGGGGGGGGGCGGCGGCUGCCAGUGUCACUGCGAGCAUGCCACAGCCAGGGAGAGGAAUUCAAGCUGCCUUGGGAAGACAGGGAGUGCAGAGACUGCAAUUACAGCCACCUUCGGGUUUUUUCCUAGUGAUGCACUCGAUCAUCCGUUCAAGAAGGUGUACGGAAGAGGAAAAGCAUCCCUGGAGUGGGCAGGGGGGCUGGAAUGGGGCAUGGCCAGGACUGUGUGCUGCUCAGGGAGGAUCUCUGCUUUGCCCCCAAUCAAAGGGGAUUUGUGCUAAGCCGAAGGAUGCCGGGCGCCGUGAGCCUCUGGAGCACAGAGGAGCUUUCUGUUAGAGCUUCCUGUGCUUUGUUCAACAAAAUACAUUAACGGGAGGAAGAGAGCUCUCACUACAACCCUGAUUACUAUUUCCUUUAAUUCCAUCAAAAUGACUUCUUCCCAGCACAGCCUCCCCAGCCAGAUGCUCCCCCGGCUGCGGAGGGUUCGGGACCUUCAUCUGCACUGCUGGAAAUGUUUUGCAGAUUUCAG